GUCCUGGCCCUAAACGGUGCUCACUGGGUGUGGGAGGGAAUCGACCCCUUCCGUGCCGAAGCUAACGCAUUAAGUGAGCCGCCUGGGGAGUACGGUCGCAAGAUUAAAACUCAAAGAAAUUGACGGGGGCCCACAAGCGGUGGAGCAUGUGGCUUAAUUCGAUGCAACGCGAAGAACCUUACCUGGCCUUGACAUGUACGUAGUAGAAGCCCGAAACGGUGACGAGGUAGCAAUACCAGCGUACACAGGUGCUGCAUGGCUGUCGU
rnacentral:rRNA from 1 species